AUGUCCUUUUGUUUUUAAUAUAAGGUCUGGUCUGCCCAAUGAUUUAUUUAAUGGCCGCGGUAUAUUAACUGUGCUAAGGUAGCAUAAUCACUUGUCUUUUAAUUAAAGGCUAGAAUGAAUGGCUGGACGAAGUAUAAGCUUUCUUUAAUUUAAUUUAUGAAUUUAAUUUUUUAGUUAAAAAGCUAAAAUUUUUUUGAGGGACGAGAAGACCCUAUAGAUCUUUAGAAUAUUAAUUAUAAUAUAAUUUAGAAUAUUAAUUAUUUAAUAAUUAAUAUUCUUUGGUUGGGGUGAUUAUAGAACUUAUAGAACUUCUAUUUAUUUAUAUCACAAAUGAGUGUUAUUUUGAUCCAAUUAUUAUUGAUUAUAAGAUUAAGUUACCUUAGGGAUAACAGCGUAAUUCUUUCGGAGAGCUCCAAUCGAUGAAGGAGUUUGCGACCUCGAUGUUGGAUUAAAAUUAGUAUUAGGUGCAGGAGCUUAAUAACUAGGUCUGUUCGACCUUUAAUUUUUUACAUGAUCUG
rnacentral:rRNA from 1 species